CAUAAAAGGACAAAUACUGUAUGAUUCCAGUUAUAUGAGGUACCCAGAUUAGGCAGAUUCACAGGGAUGGAAAGUAAAAUAGAGGUUGCCAGGGGCUGGGGUACAGAGGAAACGGGAAGUUACUGCUUGAUGGGCACAGAGUUUCUGUUUAGGAUGAAGAGAAAGCUCUGGAAAUAGUGGAAGGUCCACAGAUGAUGCUCCUUCUCACGGAUGCGAGGCCAUCAAAUCACUUUUUGUCUCCGCUGCUCUCUCUCCAUCGUGGAUAGCCACCAUGGUUUCUCAGGAGGGAAAGGACACAACUGGAAUCUACGGUCUCUAUUUUCCCGUUGCGAGAUUUCAGCGGAGAGCCUGGUGGCACUUACAGCAGACAUCACAGAUGCCUCAGCGUUUCGGAUGAGGACAGUAAAGACCUUCCUUGCUUCAUGAAACCUUCGUUUUCCAGGGGAGAAAACACAGGAUUUCUGUGGGGCGGAAAGCAGAAAUAUCAUGAGCUCAGUGGAGAGAGAGAAGGCAGUUUUCCAGGCUGGGAGCAGUCAGAUCUCCAGUGGGUCCCAACACUGCUCUGUAGCAAUGCCUAGAAGGUGAUGGAAACAGGGUGAACAUGAGGAGUAUCAAGUCCAAAAUGAAGCUCUUCAAACCAUCUGGGAAGAGAAAACAGCAUGACAAGGAAAGGUGUAUUUGUCUGAUCCCAGUAAUCAAUAUAAACAUCAAUGAUAACCCCACCUAUUUUUUUAAAUGUAUGAUUUGGAUGAAACAAGAGAAAGAGACUGAUUGUUGCUGAGUCCCUGCUGCAGUCCUGACACAGCUCUCCUUAUUUUGUUGAUGCUCAUGAGGACCCUGAUGUCUGAGGAAGAAGGUUCCCGUCCAGCUCUGCCCCUGGUGUGUCACAUGCCGGCCUUGUCAACGCACACGAGAACCUGACAGGGUGAGUGUUAUAACCCAGUCAUAGAAAAGGAAACUGGCUCUAAAGUGUAUGGCAUCUUGCCCAAGUUCUGACACUUAGCAGAGGCCUGAGUUUAAAUACAGCCUCGUCUUGCUCUUCGACAGCCUCAGCACCACAUGCCCUGGGUGGCCCACGCAGUGAGUCACUGACAGCCCUCGUGGUUGGCCCGUGGCACAGCAUGGAGCGAAAUGGUCCAGUGACCUUUUCAGACACUCGGGCAAUGCGUGGUAUAGUGUAUGUGGUCACUCCCAGUGAGUCCUAUUGUUCAGUUUAAUAGAAUAUCUAAUUCUAUGUUUAUUCUGAAUAAAGGGAGAUUUCUUGUGGUUUUUAAGAAUAUGAAGCAUAUCUAUUUUGCCUACAAGUUGGAAGUUCCGAUACUGUAGGAAGCAUAAGUGCAGGUUAUAAUGAUGGGUUUUUUAUAAGACUGAAUUCACAUCAAACUGAAUCAGUAACUCCAGCUGUAUGAACAGGGUGAAACAUUAAACAUUUAAUGAAAACAAUUCCUUUCUUAGGUCACAGCAAGGACUAAAUAUGUCCAAUUAUCAUGCCCACUAAGAAGAUGUAUUGUAAUAUUUGCAGUUAAUCACUCAUUCACUUCAAAGGGUGUUUAUUAAUUGUCUGCUCUGGGCAUAACAUUAAUUGGAAGCAGUGUGUUCACAUGGAAACAAAACUUACCUGAGACUCUCAGUCACAACUUUCCAUGACCAGUACACGUUUCUAAUUUGAAAUACAUAUCUAAGGCUUCAAAUGCAUAAAUAGGUAUCCCAAUGUAGAACUAAGUCAAUAGUUGCUUUGAAUUAAUUGUUUAAAUUAACCUGGGAAUCGGAAAGAUAUGUCUCCAUGAAACAAUAAAGGCUGUGUUAGAAUUAGUAAACUUUAGAAGAGCAUUUUAAUCCUAAUAUAUAAACAUACUACCUAGGCACACUGUUUAAAUACAUCUGCAACCUACUAUUUUUAGAUUUAAGAAAAUCAUUAAACCUUAAAUUUGGAAAAGAUUCCAGUGUUAGACCUCUAGACUAUGAAACUUGAAUGUUUUUCUAAACUCUUUGAGUUUUAUCCAGAAAUACAGAUUUUCCUGGCACUGACAACUGCAAGAAAUUUCACUUGGAGUCUCCACAUAGUCAACCAUGUGAUGUUAACAUCAGUGUAAUAGAUACUAUCACAAACA
rnacentral:lncRNA from 1 species